AGAUGCGAAGCGGCCUCUCUACCUCCAGCUCAUCCCUAGACAGCAUACAGGACAGCAACAUAGAAUACACAGAAUACCAAUGAAUGUAUGGACUGCUUCAGCUCAUAUGCUCCAGCUGCACAGAGAGCUGCACAGAGCUGCACAGAGAGCCUCCCUGCUCUAUGACAGCAACCAUGAUACCUGCUGGUCUGCUGAGGUUGUUCCUGAGUCGGCCAAACCUCUCAUACAUCACCUCUG